UAGUUAAUGAACUUGUAAAUAAGUAUAUAUUUUGAAAAUAUAAGAAAGGGAUAAUCAAACCCUAUUAACU
rnacentral:tRNA from 1 species